CAUUAUCAUGUGUUUUGGCAGUGCCCCUUUACUUCUGGUCUACUGGAAACAAUUUAAAACCUUUAUUGAAAAGGUAGUAAUCGCCCUCAAGUUUGAGACUCUAUACCUGGGUUUGAGACCAGAAACUGUUAAGGGUUUUGUAAACAAGUAUAUGUUUAAUAUUAUGUUGAUGGCCAGUAAGAAAGCCCUUAAAAGGAAGUAGUUGACAACUAAUGUACCCAAGGUUGAAGAUUGGGUCGAGGUUAUCCACGACAUUUAUGUGAUGAGGAACUCAUUUUUGCUGUAAGAUUUGAACAAGAUAAAUUUUAAAACUUUUGGGCAUCUUGGGUUGAAUCGAUAUCCUCACUAAGAUCAGACUUUACUUAAUUUAUAAUGAUCUUAGUUUUACGUCUCCUCCCCUUAAUCGUUUGUUUAAGCUACUCAAAUAUUUGUUCAC